CCAAACUCAAACAACAAAAACAAAACCCAACAACAAGACAGCACCAGAACAAAGAGAAAGCCCCACACAAACCUUCCAACUCUUCACCAUCUUUCUCUCCCUUUUCCUUUUUUUUUUUCUUUUUCUUUCUCUUUUGUUUUGAACCAGCCUGUCAAAAACA
rnacentral:ribozyme from 14 species